rnacentral:rRNA from 1 species
UGGGGAAUUUUGCACAAUGGGCGGAAGCCUGAUGCAGCGACGCCGUGUGGGGGAUGAAGGCCUUCGGGUUGUAAACUCCUUUCGUCAGGGACGAAGUUUGUUUGACGGUACCUGGAUAAGAAGCACCGGCUAACUACGUGCCAGCAGCCGCGGUAAUACGUGGGUGCGAGCGUUGUCCGGAUUUACUGGGCGUAAAGGGCUCGUAGGUGGUGUGUUGCGUCGUCUGUGUAAUCCAGGGGCUUAACUUUUGGUUGGCAGGCGAUACGGGCAUUGCUUGAGUGCUGUAGGGGAGACUGGAAUUCCUGGUGUAGCGGUGAAAUGCGCAGAUAUCAGGAGGAACACCGAUGGCGAAGGCAGGUCUCUGGGCAGUUACUGACGCUGAGGAGCGAGAGCAUGGGUAGCGAACAGG